rnacentral:other from 1 species
UUGUCCCUGCGGUGCGCGCGGCUUGCCCGGAAUUAUUCUGAGCCAACACCAGAAUAAUCGGGAACCCCGCUUCGACGUUCUUAAGGCAGGCCCAUCCGGCGCGCAAGCGUCGGAAGGGAAGCAAACGGGCGUUGAGGGGGUCCCCAACAUUAGGUUGGGACCGGGUUCACGAAUAAUCCGGCACACGGCACCCGCGGGGACUUU